ACGCCGACCACUCUCAGUAGAACGCUAGUGGCAGUGUUACCGGUUCGUCUGUACUGAUAGUUUUUGUAUCUUGUGUGUUAGUUUUGUUAGGUUUGUGUGCUGCUGUUCGUGUCGCGUGGGUUGUAUUAAAUGUGCAUCUGUGUGGGUACGCCUGUCGCCUAGUCCAUUCUUUCGGCCAGAGUGUUCUCCGGAGGAGAUCCGUGACAGAGAUGAAGUGGCGAGCCUGCCAGGAUUCAUUUCCUUGUUUCUUUUUGCUUUGUCUCGGAUCUUUCCGAUCUCUCGACGGCAGAAAGUAUGGAUUUGGCAAAAACGCUAGAACUUGCGCUCAAGCUAGGGUUAAGCAAGGAAGAGGCGAUGCGCCUCUGGGACGAGAAGAAAGAAGAAGCAAAGAGGCAGAGAGAGGAAAGGGCGCAAGCACGCGCAGAUGCUCGCGAGGCAGAGGAGCGAGAGGCUAGAAGAGCUAGUGAGGCAGAAGAGCGAGAGGCUAGAAGAGCUCGCGAGGCAGAACAGGAGAAAAGAAGGAUAGAACGAGAGGAGUUCAUAUUGUGGAAACAGGCGCAUAUCGCAGGAGGCUAUGAGGGGAUCACGGAAGAUGAUACGCGUUCUUUAGCUGGUACCGAAUCCCCUAGACCUACUAGUGUUUGCCCAAGAAAGUUGAUGGCCCCUUUUGAUGACAAAAGAGAUGAUUUGGACGCGUAUCCGCAAAGAUUCCAGCGGAUAGCUCUGGGGCAAGACCAAGCUGCAUGCGUUGCCGACUCUCGGGCAGAACUUGUCACACCAUCUGAAGUUCCACAUCUGAAAGGAGAAGAAACGCCACUGGGAAAUGAGGUGGUGACUGUAGCACCGAAGUCAAAAGAAGCAAUGCCGGUGGCGGCGGGGCAAAUAGGGGACCGUCCUGUAUUGGUGCUUAGAGACAGCGGAGCCAACACAGCUUUGGUAAGGAGAAGCCUGGUGAAGGACGAGGAACUUACAGGGGAAACAUAGACCCUCACUCUCGCAGAUAGCACAGUAGGGUACAUUCCUGAAGCCAGGAUUCGAGUGUCCACGCCAUAUUAUACCGGACAGGUAGUGGCAAAAUGCGUAGAGCAGCCCAUCUACGAUCUCAUCAUGGGAAACAUUACGGGUACAAGAAGUGUCGAGGACCCCGAUCCUGAGUGGAGGAUGCUCGACGUCGAAGAACUCCCAAAGUAGGAGAGGGCCACAACAACUCAGGCGAGUGAUGGGGAUGGGGCAGUCAGUUUCUCGACGGCAGUGGAGACAAGAGCUCAAGCGACAGGCAGAGCAAUGCAGCGUUUGGAAAGAAAGUGGGUAAGGAGAAGGCCAAAGACAAGAAGCACACGAGCAAAGACAAGUCCAAAGACAAGACGAGCAAGAGCAAAGGCAAGUCCAAAGACAAGACGAGCAAGAGCAAAGACAAGAAAAGCAAAUGCAACGAUAGUAAAGAGAAGAAAUAGAAGGGUUUCUGCCCCUGGCUAAGCAGCAAAAGCAGCAAAAGCAGCAAGAGCAGCAAGAGCACCAAAGAGAAAGGGGGACGCAAGCGCAAGUCCAAGAAGGCCAAGAAAGGCUCCUUUAAGGAAGGCAGCUCCAGAUCGAGAAGCAAAGAUAAGGCUGGCAAGGCUAAGUCCAGCAAGGAGAAGGGGGGCAAAGGAAGCAAGGAGGCGGACAAAGGCAGUAAGGAGAAGUCGAGCAAGAAAAAGAGCACCAAGAAGAAACACAGCAAGGAUAAGCAAAGUAAAGAAAAGCAACAAAGCGAGGAGAAACACCACAACGAGGACGAGCACGGAAGCAAAGAAAAGCAUGACAAAGACAAGAAUACUCAUUUCAGGUGGAAUAUAUUAAAGGCAGGGAUAACGUUGGAGCGGACUUUAUGAGUAGAGCCAGUUGAACAGCCCUAGGUAUCUCUGGGAGGUAUCUUGUUGUUGCUGCUAUGCUAUGUAUUUCAGGGAUGUGUCGCGUUGUUGGUGUUGUGGUUAUUACAUGAUUAUACAAAGCAGUGUGUUGUGGACAUUAACAUGUUUAUUAACGACACCAUGUGGACAAUUGCAUUGUUCUGAAAACUCAAGUUUAGUUGUGGACAUUCACAUGUUUAGAACCCCGUAUGGACAACGGCAGUUAUGUGUUAGUGGUGUGCUUUUGGUGUGUGCUGGUCAUCUGCGUUGUGCUGUGUGGUGUGCUGGGGCCAGAAUCGCCACAGAAGAUAGUCUGCUGGCUGGAUGGCUUGAAGAGGAGGACGACUUGAGCAGUUGUUCAGGGAAAAACUCGAGAGAGGGGGCCCUUGUCACAUAUAAGAAGGAAGAUAAAAUAAAAUGGUAGACGAAGAAAGGUUUCAAGAAGACGACGAGGAGGGCGUUAAGAAUGACGUGGAUUAACCGAGGACGAAAGAAGACAAAGAAGUUCUCAGUGAGGUGACAAGAGAUGAUUGGUGGAGAAGUAUCCGGUAAGAUGGAAAGCGAUGAUUGGUGGAGAAGAGAAGAAGACGAAAAGAAGGAUUACGUGGACUAACAAGGCUAUAAAAGGGCGAGGAAGGGCGAGACACAGGGGGGAGAAGAAAGCAGCGGAGACUCGGCGGGUGAGCGACGGUUCGACCGGAAGAGAGCGACGCCGGCUACUGCUGCGGUGAGCUCGUGUUCUACGGCUUUGCACCGCAGACUUCCUGCCGUUCCUGAGCCCCUUCCUGGGAGUCCACGGAGGACGCCACCACCUGCUACGGCCAGGGGUGUCUCUACCGCUGUUGCCACCCUUCCGGGUGGUGCCCCAACGCCAACAUCAUCGACCACACCUCCACGGGCGCUUGGACCGGGAGCGUGUACGACGCAACCAACGACGCCUCCAGCGACGCCAGCCCUCGAACGUCGAACGCCACUCCGACGCCGGCUACGGGACCCACACCACGCCACAUCCGCACCGAACCAGACUAUCAACGAAUGGCCGCCAGUCCAGGCUUCCGCAACCGUAUGUCGUGGCUGUUGUACAACGUUCACCUUGGGGACCACACCAAGAAUUGCACCAAGCCGUUCGGCGUCCUCGAGAGGGUCUGUCGGUAUUUGAAGGACCCUUCAUCUUGCUAGGACACCGUUGACCUCAAUGGAACUUCUAAUUAGCAACAGGUGUGGACGCGACCGCGAGGUCACCUCAUGUACUACACGUAUGUGACGAUGGCCACGGAUACUUCCAUAUAGCUUCUAGCGAGAGAAGCCGGCGUCUCGGCGAAAGCUGUUUUACUAUAACUGUCAUACAUGUGUGUACGUUGUCACGUUGUUUUUUUUUUUUUCACUUUUCACAAAGUGCACUCCUUUAAUUUAUCGCUCGUGCGCUGUCUGGCUAUAUCUGUGUGCCCAAUAAACAUAUUUGUGCACACAACCUGGUCUCACUCGAUAACACGGAUGUUUGGAUACUUGAGAUUAAAUUGUUUGCGGUGUGUCAGAGUUCUUUCUUGGAGGGUUUUAAAAACUAAUUGAUGAAGCUUUCUAAUGAGGUAACUCCUCAGUAAUUUGUUGCACAAUAUAAUGCUACAGUACAUUAUACUGGGUGUUUCUAAAUAGCCAUUCUGAAAUAAAAGGACGGUUCCUUUGGAGACGUGCUGUCAGUGGUGGCGACCAUGAGGUGACGGAUGAUACGUGAUAACUAGUCGCUAAUUAACAAAAAUGCAAUUAACUUUCAAACUUUUGGUGUCAGCGGGCUCAUCACCCAAAAGUUUAUAUGGCUUUUACGGAGAGCUCGCCUCAAUGUCCCAAUUACGAUGACCCCGCGGAAACGAACAGUGUAAAGCUUAAUCAGUGAUCUUUUGGUAAUUAGCGACUAAUCACCACGUACCACCCGUCACUCUAUGGUCGGCGCCGCCAAUGCUGCGUCUCCGAAGAAACCGUCCAUUUCUUUCAAAACGGCCAUUAUUAAAGUCUUCGUGCAAACACUCAGUAUAAUGUACCGAAACGCUUGGGAGCAUUUCAAGAAGCUACGGCUUGUCAUUCGGAUGUGUAGUACAAUGCAUCAAUGUGCGCGCUGCUCUAACCCUAGUAACGCUGGGUAGGACAUGGAUUAUUCAUUCAACUUCUCCAUGAAUUUCUUGCGACCGCACUUUGUGGCUUUUGCAAUGAUUUUGGCACGGGGAGUUCUACACGAGUUUUUCGUGUGGCAGUAACGGAGUACGGCGAUGUUCUGUUAAAAAUAAACGAUUGAUUGAUUGAUUGA